rnacentral:rRNA from 1 species
UACGGAGGGGGCUAGCGUUGUUCGGAAUUACUGGGCGUAAAGCGUACGUAGGCGGCUUUGUAAGUAAGAGGUGAAAGCCCGGGGCUCAACUCCGGAACUGCCUUUAAGACUGCAUCGCUUGAAUCAUGGAGAGGUCAGUGGAAUUCCGAGUGUAGAGGUGAAAUUCGUAGAUAUUCGGAAGAACACCAGUGGCGAAGGCGACUGACUGGACAUGUAUUGACGCUGAGGUGCGAAAGCGUGGGGAGCAAACAGG